AGCCUCAUUCUUGAUGAGCAUGGGAGUUGUUGAUCAUGGUGUUCAGGAAGUUUAAUGGGGCCAAAUUGAGACACGGUUUAUUUUUCCAUCCCAGUAAAUUUAUUGCGAUGGUGACAAUAAGACCUGUAACUUUU
ensembl:snoRNA